rnacentral:rRNA from 1 species
CAGCCGCCGCGGUAAUACGUAGGGGGCAAGCGUUGUCCGGAUUUAUUGGGCGUAAAGAGCGUGUAGGCGGUUAGGUAGGUCCGUUGUGAAAACUCGAGGCUCAACCUCGAGACGCCGAUGGAAACCAUCUGACUAGAGUCCGGAAGAGGAGAGUGGAAUUCCUGGUGUAGCGGUGAAAUGCGCAGAUAUCAGGAAGAACACCCGUGGCUAAGGCGGCUCUCUAGUACGUGACUGACGCUGAGACGCGAAAGCGUGGGGAGCGAACAGGAUUAGAUACCCUGGUAGUCCACGCCGUAAACGAUGGGUGCUAGGUGUAGGGGGUGUCGACUCCCUCUGUGCCGAAGCUAACGCAUUAAGCACCCCGCCUGGGGAGUACGGCCGCAAGGCUAAAACUCAAAUGAAUUGACGG